UACGGAGGGGGCAAGCGUUGUUCGGAGUUACUGGGCGUAAAGCGCGCGUAGGCGGUGCGGUAAGUCAGGGGUGAAAACUGUCGGCUCAACCGGCAGCCUGCCUUUGAAACUGGGUGACUUGAGGGCAGGAGAGGGGAGUGGAAUUCCCGGUGUAGCGGUGAAAUGCGUAGAUAUCGGGAGGAAGGCCGGUGGCGAAGGCGGCCCUCUGGGCCUGUACUGACACUGAGGCGCGAAAGCGUGGGGAGCAAACAGG
rnacentral:rRNA from 1 species